rnacentral:tRNA from 1 species
ACCUGGCUAGCUCAGUCGGUAGCGCAUGAGAUUCUUCAUCUCAGGGUCGUGGGUUUGAGCCCCUCGUUGGGCG